rnacentral:hammerhead_ribozyme from 1 species
AUUCAGAUGAUGAGUCCCUAGUGGGACGAAAUGCGCAUCCUGGAU